rnacentral:rRNA from 1 species
GGAGGGUGCAAGCGUUAUCCGGAUUCACUGGGUUUAAAGGGUGCGUAGGUGGGCAAGUAAGUCAGUGGUGAAAUCUCCGGGCUUAACCCGGAGACUGCCAUUGAUACUAUUUGUCUUGAGUACUGUGGAGGUCAGCGGAAUAUAUCAUGUAGCGGUGAAAUGCUUAGAUAUGACAUAGAACACCAAUUGCGAAGGCAGCUGGCUACACAAAUAUUGACACUGAGGCACGAAAGCGUGGGGAUCAAACAGGAUUAGAUACCCUGGUAGUCCACGCCCUAAACUAUGGAUACUCGACAUUUGCGAUAAACUGCAAGUGUCUGAGCGAAAGCAUUAAGUAUCCCACCUGGGAAGUACGAUCGCAAGAUUG